AAGCAUUAAAGUUGCUGUGAGGAUUAUAAAAUCAAGCAUUAGCAGCCAAUUUGGGGACUGAUUAUUGUACACGUAUAUAGGCGGCCGGAAUUGAUUUUAUAUACAUAGAUAAUAUCCUCCUGGAGUUGAUAUAUAUACACAUACACGCAGAGAGAAGCAGCCAAGAUUAUUAGAUUAGGCACAAAACAAAAGCCGAGUUGGUGGGAAUUGGAAUACAAAAAGUAGGCUGUUGUUGAAAUUAUAUAUAAAUGCCAAUAGAAAACGGACGGUGAGGGGACAAAAAUUGAAGGAUAAAAAGCCGAAGUUUGUGGAGAAAAGUGGCAGAAACUGAGAGCGAUUUCGGCUGAUUUGGCGAGUUAUUUUCGAGUCAAAAAUUUCAGUUGGUUGCUGCAAAUAAAGUCAGCAGUUGGCUGGAGAAAAAACAUAGAAGAAAAGCGCUGAAAAAUAUAUACAAAUUGGUGGCUGAUUACAUGAAUUAAUUUGGAACCGACGCAGAUUGAGGUGGCAGCUUUGGAAGGAAUUUGGAAAUCAUUCACCUUCUGUCAAUUACUAGGUGAUGUUGUUCCAACUUUAUUUAUUUAAUUUCGACAAUAUGUGUGGCUAAUUUUUCUAGUUCUAGGAUGUGAUGAACUCUUGUUAUGAAGUUAUUAGUUCGAAUAGAUUAAAUUGACGCUAAAUUCGCUUAAUUGUUGGGUGUUUAUUAUGGUUUAACUUGUUUUUCAAUUACUUGGCCAAUAAUUGAAAUGUUUGUGGAUUUUAUUGUCAUCGAGAGAGAUAAUAGGAUCAUUAGCUUGUAAUAAUAAACAUUGUGAGGUUCGAUAGAGGAUAAAGAUACAUCUCUAUGCUUCACAUGGUUGUUAUAAUGUUCUAGCUCGUUUAUGUUUUUUUAUACAUUCGUAUUUUUCAUAGAGAUAUAGGAAAAUCACGUGUAGGAUUAGAUUUAAUUGCUAUCAAGAUAGGCUUUUAAAUAAAAUAAAAACAUUGACCAACAAGCAUGAUUUCAAAUUGUCAGUUUAAAUUGUCGAACUAAAAUGGAGGAGCAAGGAGGAUUCCACAUCUUAGCAAUACUUCUCGCAAAUUUGAUAAAAAUUUAUUUUGCUUUCUAUAUAAUUGAUAGAUUUAAUAGUGUUAGUUACAACUCGACCUUGCUAUUCGAUUAGGGGAAUUAUUAGCUUUAACUCGAUCAAACAUACAGUCCUUGUGGAUUCGACACUCUACACAACACUUUAUUACCUGUUCACGAUCUCGUUCACUUGCGAGUGAUCAAACGACCAUAUUUUUGUCGCCGUUGCCGGGGAACUAUAUUUUUUGACUAGGUUUAGUUAAUUUUAACUUUAAUCUGAAUUUUAUUUUAUUUUAUUUUAUUUUUAGUUUAGUUAAUUAAUUUCGAAAAUUUUUAUAGUGUUUUUUUCUUUCUUUUUCAAGACUUUGUAUGCGAAGUUCGAGAACUAGUGAUCUUGCUCAAUUUGACCCAAAAAUCGAACGAACAUUCAACUUUCGAAGAAAACAACAGCUUGAAACACACCAAAAACAAAAAGAGGAAGAUAUUGCAAAUGAAAAUCCGAAUCAAAUAGUCAUCGGGGCUAAUCUAGGAAUAGCACAACCGAACAUAGCUGCAACCAAUGAAAUGCAAGGCUUAUGCAAGAGUAUAUGGUUCCACCGCUAGUGGAAAGCCAAUCUAGUAUCGUAUAUCCGGCGUUUGGUCAAGCAAACUUCCACCUGAGAACAUAUGUCAUCAACAUGUUCCAAAAUGCGCUACAAUUUUUUGGAAAAGCUACAGAGAAUCCCAACGCUCAUAUAUCAAGAUUUCUGGACAUGUGUACAACAAUUGAGUAUCCGAAGGUUUCAAGCAAAGUAAUUAGCCACUUGCCCACCACAGAGCAUCACAACAAGGAAACAAUUGAGUCAGAAAUUUCUUAGCAAAUAUUUCCCACCGAAAAGGAUUGCAAAACUAAUGGACGAGAUCACUACUUUUCAGCAAAUGGACUCAGAAUGCUAUUCAGAGGCUUGGGAACGAUACAAGGGUUUACUUCGCAAAUGCCCACAACACGGAUUGUGGAAGUGGCUUCAAGUGCAAUACUUCUACGUUGGUUUGAACCCGAUUAGCAGGGCUAACUAGACUCUACAUGCGAUGGUUCUAUCACAGAAAGAACCGCGGACCAAGUCCACCAAAUCAUGGAGGAUUUGGCAUUCACCAGUGCACUUUGGCGUACUGAAAGAACGAGUGGAAAGAAAGCUACUGGGGUAUUCCAAGUUGAUUCUGUAACAGCACUUUCAACACAAUUGGCAUCAUUGGCACAGAAGGUAGAUCAAAUGAGUGUAGCCUAGACAAUGGGACCGAAAUGUAAACAUUGUGGAGCGAACCACGAAAGUUUUGAUUGUAACGUAGGAUCUCCUUUUACUCAGACAGUAGAAGACGUGACCUACACUCAGAAUUUUCUAUGGCAACAACACAAUCCAAAUCCUAACACAUAUUACCCAGGCUGGAGAAACCACCCAGGUUUUUAAUGGAGUAAUAAUCAGGGAGCUCACAUUGCGCCACAGCAGACCACACCACCCGGAUUUCAACAGAAUAAGAAGAAGUCUUCCUUGGAAGAUCUUGUGACUAAGUUAGCAGAAAUAUCCACUCAACACAUGCAGAGAAUGGAUAAGAGCUUGCAAAUUCAGGGUGCUGCUAUAAAAAAUUUGGAGAAUCAAAGGCUAUAACUACUCGCAGCGGGGUACAGCUACCUGAAAUAAAUCUGAAAAGGGUGGUUGCUACACAAGAGAAGGUACCUACUAGGGUUGAGGAUCCUUUGGAAGAAUCUACACCGAACAAAGAACAAGAAGAAGUACUAGAGAAUCCAAAAGUUAAGGAACCCGCUCCUACCAAAAAAAUGGUUCAACCACUCCCAUUCCUACAUAAGCUAUAGAAGCAUAAGCUGGACAAGCAAUUUUUGAAGUUUCUUGAGGUAUUCAAAAAGUUGCAGAUCAAUAUACCAUUUGUGGAUGCACUUGUACAAAUGCCUAGCUAUGCGAAAUUUAUGAAAGAAAUACUCACAAAUACAAAGAAGCUCGAGGAUUUGGGGAUAGUGAUGCUGAAUGAAGAAUGCAGUGCCAUCUUACAGAAUAAGCUACCACCUAAAAUAAAGGACCUAGGGAGUUUCACUAUCCCUUGCACUAUUGGUAACAUGAAAUUUGAUAAAGUUCUGUGAUUUAGGAGCUAGUAUUAACCUCAUGCCUUAUUCUAUUUUCAGAAAAUUAAACUUGGGAGAGGCGAAGGCAACAUCGAUCUCAUUGCAGUUGGCAGACAGGUCCAUAAAAUUUUCCAGGGGAAUUAUUGAAGACAUAUUGGUGAAGGUCGAUAAAUUUAUCUAUCCUGCGGAUUUCAUCAUUCUAGAUAUGGCUGAAGAGGAUAAAGAUGAGCCAUUGAAAUUGAGAAGACCAUUCAUUGCAACGUGUCGAGCGUUAAUAAAUGUUCAGAAAGGACAAUUGAUGUUGUGAUUAAAUGAUGAGCAUGUGACAUUCAACGUUUUCAGUGCUAUCAAAUAUCUUACAGAAUUAGAUAACUAUCUGCACAUUGAUAUGGUGGAUUUGACUGUGGAAGAGACUUUCAUUCUUGAGCAUCCUCAAGACCACAUGGAGAAUCUUCUUGUGCACUCACGAGAUAAAACAUCAACAAUUGAAGAGAUAAGUCAGAUCGCUUACAUUACAGAAUUCGCUCCACCCAUCAGGAGAAGACAGUUUGAGGAACUUGGUUCAGGACCAAGUAGACCACUACCUUCUAUUCAGAAAGCACCAAUUCUUGAGCUCAAGCAAUUGCCAUCACAUCUGAGGUAUGCAUAUUUAGGAGAGUUGUCUACACUCCCUGUGAUUAUUGCAAAAGAGAUAACAGAGUUAGAAAAACAAUGAUUACUAAGAGUCUUGAGGGAACACAAAAUAGCCAUUGGGUGGUCUAUAGCAGACAUCAGAGGAAUCAGUCCAUCGAUAUGCAUGCACAAAAUCUUGAUGGAAGAAGAGUAUAAGCCAACAGUGGAAAAUCAACGCAGAUUUAACCGCACCAUGAAGGACGUUGUGCGAAUAGAGAUAUUGAAACUCCUUGAUGCAAGCAUCAUCUAUCCGAUUUCUGAUAGCAAGUGAGUUAGUCCAAUCCAUGUUGUUCCAAAGAAAUGAGGUAUUACUAUGGUAAAGAAUGAGAACAAUGAAUUGAUACCUACAAGACUAGUCACAAGAUGGAGAGUAUGUAUAGACUACAGAAAAUUGAACAAUGCAACUAGAAAAUAUCACUUUUCUUUGCCCUUUAUCGAUAAGAUAUUAGAGAGACUAACUGGACAUUCACACUACUAUUUUUAGGAUGGGUACUCAGGUUACAAUCAGAUUGCAUUAGCUCCAGAAGAUCAGGAGAAGACUACAUUUACAUGCCCUUAUGGUACUUUUGCACACAGAAGGAUGCCAUUAGGGUUGUGUAAUGCCCCUGCCAUAUUUCAGCGAUGCAUGAUGGAAAUUUUUUCAGAUAUGAUGGAGAAAAUUAUUGAAGUCUUCAUGGACGACUUUUCAGUGUUUGGUUCAUCAUUUGAAAAUUGCCUCUCAAAUUUGGGAAUGGUCUUACAGCAUUGUGAAGAAAUGAAUUUGGUGCUAAACUGAGAAAAGUGUCGCUUCAUUGUGCAGGAAGGAAUAGUACUUGGGCACAAAAUUUUAGCAGAUGGUUCCGAAGUGGAUAAAGCAAAGAUUCAGGUGAUAGAGAAGCUUCUUCUACCAACUUCAGUUAAGGGAGUACGUAGCUUCCUCGGCCAUGCAGGGUUCUACAGGACGUUUAUUAAGGAUUUCUCUAGAAUCACAAAGUCAUUCUGUAAUGAAAAGGACACACCAUUCAACUUUUCUGAAGAAUGUUUGACAGCCUUGAACACUAUGAAAGAAAAGUUAAUUUCUGCACCAGUUAUAGCUACACCAGAUUGGGACAUGCCAUUCGAACUAAUGUGUGACACUAGUGAUUAUGUAGUGGGGGCAGUAUUGGGUCAAAGAAAGAAUAAAAAUCUCCAUGUUAUCUACUACGCAAGCAAGACUUUGAUCGAUGCACAGCUGAAUUAUGCAACCACAGAAAAGGAGCUAUUGGCCAUUGUGUUUGCCUUCAAUAAGUUCAGAUCAUAUCUCAUGGGAUAAAAUGUUAUUGUCUACACAGAUCAUACAGCCUUGAAAUAUCUAAUGUCUAAGAAGGAUGUGAAGCCCAAGUUGAUUCGGUGGAUACUCCUUCUUUAAGAGUUCAAUUUGGAAAUUCGAGACAAGAGGGGAUGUGAAAAUGUGAUAGCAGACCAUCUUUCAAGACUUGAAUAGGCAAAACAGAAAAACAAGGGCGAUAUAAAAGAUUCUUCCCUCGAUGAAUGUAUCUUUGUAGCUGAUAGUGGGCCAUGGUAUGCGGAUAUAGUAAACUACUUGGCUUGUAAUGUGCUUCCUCCUGAGCUUACAUACCACCAAAGGAAGAAAUUCUUUUCAGAGCUGAAGUAUUAUCAUUGGGAAGAUCCCAUCUUAUACAUGAGGGGUGCUGAUUAAAUCAUUCGACGGUGUGUACCAAAUGAAGAGGUCUCUAAAAUUCUGGAGCGUUGCCACUCUUCUGCUUAUGCUGGGCAUUUUAGGUAUUCUAAGACAACAACGAAGGUUUUACAAUUAGGGUUUUAUUGGCCGUCACUGUUUAAGGAUGCACAUGAAUAUGUGAAAUACUGUGAUCAAUGCCAACGUACAGGGACGAUCUCCAAAAAGAAUGAGAUGCCUCUAAAUUCGAUUCUAUAAGUGGAGCUCUUUGAUGUUUGGGGGAUCGAGUUUAUGGGACCAUUUCCUUCUUCUUAUAAAAAUCAGUAGAUGUUGGUGGCAGUUGACUAUGUAUCGAAAUGGCUAGAAGUAGUAGUAGCACCAACUAAUGAUGCUCGAGUGGUUGUGAAUUUUUUGAAGAAGAACAUAUUCUCGCGCUUUGGCACUCCUCGAACUAUCAUCAAUGAUCACGGUAAACAUUUCUGUAACAGGCUUUUGGAAUCAGUAUUAGCGAAAUAUGGGGUGAAACAUCGAGUUGCUAUCCCUUAUCACCCCUAAAAAAGUGGCUAGGUGGAAGUGUCAAAUAGGGAGCUAAAGAGAAUUCUCGAGAAGAUAGUGAAUAGCUCAAGAACUGAUUGGUCACGAAAAAUUGACGAUGCAUUAUGGGCAUACAGGACUGCCUACAAAACACUAGUAGGAACGUCACCAUAUCGCCUUGUAUGCGGAAAAGCUUGUCACCUUCUAGUAGAAUUGGAGCAUCGAGCAUAUUGGACAGUGAAGCAGUUAAACAUGGACCUGACAACUGCUAAAGAUAAGAUGAUGCUACAGUUGAAUGAGUUGGAUGAAUUUUGGAUGAUAAAUGCAAAAUUGUAUAAGGAGAGGACAAAGAAAUUGCAUGAUAAAUAUAUCCACAGAGGCGUGAGUUUACUCCAAUUCAACAAGUAUUGUUGUUCAAUUCUAGGUUGAAGCUUUUUCCUGGAAAAUUGCACUCUAGAUGGUCUGGUCCAUUCAUAGUUGUUCAAGUCUUUCCACAUAUGAUAGUUGAAGUGACUCACGAGACAAAAGGAACCUUCAAAGUAAAUGGGCAGCGGUUGAAAGCAUAUUGGGGUGGUGACUUUGAUAAAGAGAAGUCACUCACCCAACUUCACGACCCAAAAUGAUCGAUCUGAAACAAUCUAGCUAAAGACUAUAAAUUAAGCGCUGAUUGGGAGGCAACCCAACUUCUAACCCUUUUAUUUAUUUUGCUUUCUGCUUCGCAUAGCAUAUAGAUUUGUUUUUAUUACUAGGUUGCAUUAGAUUUAGGCACUUUUUAAUUUGUAGGGUAUCACCAUCCUUAAUACUCCCCUUAGGCCAUUUAAUUUAUUGUUGGUAUUUUGAUUGUUUGGAUUAAGUAACACAUGUUUCAGGAUUUUUGAAUUUUAAUGUUUGAUUUGAAUUGCUAUAUGCAGGAAUAUGAUGUCGCGGAACACUCAAACCAACAUAAACCAAGGGAAAAGUAUAAUGAAAAUUUUGCCUAGUCGUCACACAUAAGGCCUUACACAUUCAACAAAAAAUUUGGGAAGUCCCUUCUUCCUUUUCUUCCAUAUCCCUUUAUGUGCUUGUUUAUACUUUAUGACUUGGAGGACAAUAUCAAUUUUAAGUUUGGAGGUAAAAAAAAUUAAAGUUAAUUUUUGUUUUUCGUAAUUUUUUAUGUUUUUGUGUGUUUGUUUUAGUUAGAAAAAAAAAAGAAAAAAAUUAAAAGAAAAUUCUCUUUUAUUCAGUUGUGUGCUUGUGUGGGUUAGAUAGUCUAGCUCAACAUGAUAAUUUACUUUGAGAUUUCGUGUUAAUUUAUUAACUGUCGAUAUGUUGCAUGCUAAACUGAUUGAAGCUUAACCGUGCAAAAGUUGAUAUUAUACGCGCACUAGAAUUGAGUUUGAUGUUGUGAUGAAAUGUGUAGUUUCAUGCUAUUGAUAGGUUGAUUUAGUUGACAUAGAUGUUUUAUCCAAACCAUACUAAAACAAUUAUCCUUAAACCAAAUUUAGCACAGCUUGGAUGAUUUUAUUAUUGUAGGAAGAUGCGGAUGUGAAUCUGGAUUCCUUGUGUAGAAAAAAAAAUAUUGUGUGGAUUGUACUAGACUAACAUGAUAAAAUUGGGUGAAAGUCUUGAGUUGAAGGUCAGUUUUCUUGAAUAGGUUUAUGAUAAAGGACAUUACACUAAUCAAGGCAUAUAUUUUAAAAUUUAGAACUUCUCUUUGAAGCCUUUAUGACUCGAGCAAUUAAGCCUGCAACUGCAAGAGUAUCUUAAAACUCGAUGCCCUAAAAUCAUCUGACUUGGGAGUCAUCGGCCUAAAACUCGCUAAAGGGGUCAUUUAGAAAGUAAUCAGAGAUGAAGUUGCCCUUGAAGAAAAAAAUAAUAAUUGUUCUCCUCAACGCCUUUAUGAAUCAAGUUAUUAAGUCCGUAAGGGUGUUUAAAAAUCUGGUGCCCUAAAGUCGUUUGAUUUGAGAGUCAUCGGCCUAAAGCCUGUUAUAUGGGUUAUCUAGAAAACUUAAGGGGGAGUGCAAAAAAUAAUAAUAAUAAUAAAAAAAUAAAUAAAUAAUAAUAAUAAUAAUAAUAAAUUGCACUAAAUGCCUUGUUAAGUCCUAAUACUUGUUCGACGGAAUUUGACUUUCAAUGAAAGAUAAUUAGCUUAGUUGAGUUUGGGCAGUCGAAACAAUCAAAUAAUUGGAGAAUCCUCGUUCAUUGAUGUGUUGACUUGCAAUUAGUGAUAUCACCUAAACUAGAGAUGGUGACGAUAAUGAUGAAUAAUUCAACUUUAGAUCACAUGCUGAGGAAUGAGUGAAAAGAACAAGUUUGGGAGUGUGUGAACUUUACGAGUGAUGAAAGGAUAUAUUUGACCACAAAAGAUCGGGAUUUGGAAUAACUUAUGAAUUCAUUAAUGUUCACUUAAUUCUUUACACACACACAUGUCGAUUUUACAUUGGAAGAGUGGAUAUUGGUUUGGUAUUGUGACUUUGAAACGAUUUGUGAAUUUAAUACGGUAAUCUCAAAUUUUGAAUUUAGAAUCUAGGCUAUCCAACGAUUGCACGCUUGUGUGUUUGUUAUUAUUUAGGUUAUAGUUUUAUUUGAGAACAGACAAAUGUUUAAAUUUGGGGGUAUCUGAUAAGUAUAUUUUAUACACUUAUUCGGGCUCUUAAAUAAUAAUAUUUGAUAGUUCUUUUGACAAAUUAUACCCUAAAUUGUUCUAUUUUAUAUGUUUAAUAGGUAAAUUCUAUGAAUAAAAAGGAAACGAAGGAAGGAAGCAAAAAUCGGCAAAGAAAUGACAAAUUCCAAAGCACGAGGACUAAAUUGGCUCAAGUAUUGAAUUGUAUGAUUUUAAAAUAACUGAGGACUUGAAGAAAAUGAAGGAUUCAAUGGGCCUAAUUUGUGGUUUUUGUUUUGAUCCAAAUUCAAAAAGGGUUUCCAGCUUGAAUAUAUAUAUAGAAGACGGCAGUUUUCUUGGAGCAAGGGAGGCUAAAAGAAAAGGAGUUGAGGGAGAUUGUACACGUAGAGAGAGCCGGCUAAGGGAAAACAUUGGAUUACCAAUACAAUUGGGUGGCUGAAUUUGAUAAAAAAAAAGGGGCUGGAAUUGCACAAGUUAAAGCAUUAAAGUUGAUGUGAGGAUUAUAAAAUCAAGCAUUAGCAGCCAAUUUGGGGAUUGAUUAUUGUACACGUAUAUAGGCGGCUGGAAUUGAUUUUAUAUACACAGAUAGUAGCCUCCUGGAGUUGAUAUAUACACACAUACACGCAGAGAGAAGCAGCCAAGAUUAUUAGAUUAGGCACAAAACAAAAGCCGAGUUGCUGGGAAUUGGACUACAAAAAAGUAGGCUGCUGUAGAAAUCAUAUAUAAAUGCCAACAGAAAACGGACGGUGGGGGGGGGGGGGGGGGGGGGGGGGGGACAGAAACUGAAGGAUAAAAAGCGGUAGCUUGUGGAGAAAAGUGGCAGAAACUGAAAGCGAUUUCGGCUGAUUUGGCGAGUUGUUUUGGAGUCAAAAAUUUCAGUUGGUUGCUGCAAAUAAAGUCAGCAGUUGGCUGGAGAAAAACAUAGAAGAAAAGCGCAAAAAAAUAUAUACAAAUUGGCGGCUGAUUACAUGAAUUAAUUUGGAACCGACGCAGAUUGAGGUGGCAGCUUUGGAAGGAAUUUGGAAAUCAUUCACGUUCCGUCAAUUACUCGGUGAUGUUGCUCCAACUUUAUUUAUUUAAUUCCUUGACGUUAAAUUCGCUUAAUUGUUUGGGUGUUUACUAUGGUUUAACUUGUUUUUCAAUUACUUGGCCAAUAAUUGAAUUGUUUGUGGAUUUUAUUGUCAUCGAGAGAGAUAAUAGGAUCUUUAGCUCCUAAUAAUAGACGACGUGAGAUUCGAUAGAUAAUAGAGAUAUACCUCGAUGCUUUACAUGGUUGUUAAAGAUGUUCUAGCUCGUUAAUAUUUUUUUAGACGUUCGUAUUUUUCAUAGAGAUAUAGUAAAAUCAAGUGUAGGAUUAGAUUUAAUUACUAUCGAAAUAGGCUUUUAAAUAAAAUAGGAACAUUGACCAACAAGCAUGAUUUCAAAUUGUCAGUUUAAAUUAUCGAACUAAAAUGGAGUAGCAAAGAGGAUUCCACAUCUUAGUAAUACUUCUCGCAAAUUUGAUAAACUUUUUCUUUGCUUUCUAUUUAAUUGAUAGAUUUAAUAAAGUUAGUUACAACUCGACCUUGCUAUUCGAAUAAGGGAAUUAUUAGCUUUAACUCGAUCAAACAUAUAGUCAUCGUGGGUUCGACACUUUACACACCACUUUAUUAUCUGUUUACGAUCUCGUUCACUUGUGGGUAAUCAAACGCAUAAGUGUUUCCUCAUAGGAGCAUCCACAAAUUUGAUCAAUUAUUCUUCUUGCUUUGUCAGCCGAUAGAGAUAUAUGUCGACCUAAAGCGUAUACUUAUGUUUUUUUUCUUUCGCAUAAGGUUUACCUUGUCGCGCGAAAUAGCAAUAGAGCUUUUCCAGACAUUUGUAAUUCGUGGCUGCCAUAGGAGCACCAAAUAAAAAAAAAAAAAAAAAAGUUAAUAAGGAAAAGGAGAAACUUCUAAAAACUUCAGCUUCAAAUAAUAUUUAGCAGCUGAAAAAAGACACUGCAUGAUUGAAAACUAUGUACAUUGAGAUAAAGACUAAAGUAACUUACGGAAAAUUAAAGUUAGGAUCCCCAUAGAUAUUGACAUUCGGAUACUACAACAAAGUUUACUCUUUAAGGUGUGCAAAGUUAUUUACGACGUAUAGGCUCAUGCCAUAGAAAGUCAUGCCGUAAAUACUAGCAUCCUUUUACGGCAUGCAAUGAAAAACAUGCCAUUAAUAUAUUUUUCACGGCGUGCACUUGCAUGCUAUAAAUACUCAACUCUUUUAUGGCGUGCACUUACAUGCCGUAAAUGUGAAUUUCAUUUGUUAAAAAUAUUUAUUUAUUUAUUUACCAACAAGCUUAUAAUAAUUAAUAAUUAAAAGGACUAUAUAUACUAACACAUAUAAUAUAAUCAUGUUUUGCAUAAUUUCAAUGAAUAAAAAUAUUAAGUGCUAUCAAAUACAAUAUUCAAAAAUGUAGAGAACAUCAUUAGCUUAGUCAAAAAGUCGAUAUCAAUAUACCAAAAGUAUCGAUUACAACUCCAAAAAUAACUUAUUAAAAUAGUACAAAAUAUUCGACCCAUAUUGAAGACAUCCCACAAUCAUGGUGAUCUUCUGUUGGCAAGCAAGCAUUUGGACCAGAUUUGUAGCUUGUAACAUGGUCAACGGAUACCGAAUUGCUACAUGCCAUAUGCUUUUUUUUAGUCUGUGAGACUGAAUAGUCCUGGAACCAAAAAUAAAGAGGAAAAGUAAUUAAUCAUGGUGUACCUUUAUGAAAUAAAUACCAAGUAACAAACAUCAAUUUCAUUUCACUUGGCCUGGUGUAUAUGGCUACUGAAAUUUAUGAGUAAGGUCCUCUUUGUUAUGGUUCUUGUCCAAAAUUUAAGAGUAAACAACAAAACAAGUAAAAUAAGAUAAAAAAAUUGCUAGAAGAGCAAACUAGACAUACCCAAGUCAUGGCUACUUGUGCUUUUGACUCCAUUACUUGUGCAACUUCUUGGACUUCAUGAACCAAUCCAAUUUCAAGUAAUGAAAGAAUAUGCAUCUACGUUAUUUAACUAACAGCAACUAAAAAGAAAAAUAAAAACCAGGACAAUGUGACUCAAAACCAUAGCCGAAGGUUAACCACAAGACAUCAUAGAUCAAUUUAUAAAGAAACUAGACUAGAUAAAUGGUGGCAACGAGAAUUAAUAUUCUUUAGUCACUAUCAUAAACAAAAGGUCCAUUUGUGAAAAUAACGAGACCAUAAAAUUCAUAAGAAUGAUAGCUAGCAAUUUAUAAAAUUAUAUUAACGACUACGAACUUAAAGGGGGAAUGAGAACCAAAAAGGCUAGUCUCAAAACCCAGUUACAGGAAAUUUGGAGCAGUGGUGAGAAGAGAUGUGUUUAGAGCCACAUUUUUCCUACCUCUUAGUAAAUGAAAAGAAUAUUUUGUAAUUAAGUUCAGAGACCAUAUAUACCAACAAGGCAUUUAUUUAAGAAUAAAAUUCCAAUCCAACAUUUUGGCUGCAACACAACUAGAAAAAAGUUUAGUCAAAAUGUGUGAAGAUCAUAGUAGACCUUGUUCUGAACCCGAUUGGUCUGAUACUUCCCUCCAACUUCAUUUGGUCCAUAGUUCAUUCCAUUGUAUGCCACUGCUAGAAAUGGUCAAUGAAUACAUUACCGUAAAGAAGCAAUUGAAAUUGAAAACGAAGCACGAACUUUCCAAAACAAUUUCCUAUAAACACCAUUGAAAUUGCAAAAACUAUGAAGCAUAAACAUCGAUGAAAUAACUCCAACAUAACAUGCAAAACUUCUGCAAAAAUUUAUAGGCUAAAAAAUCUAACAUGAGCAUAAAUUAAUGAAUUCACCAAUCUCUGCAAUUAUCUAUAAUUUAAGAUCAUCUCAUAUUCCCAUUUUAUGAAUGAGAAUAGUCCCUCCUUUAGCAAAAGGCAUUUUAUCUCCAAGCGUUUAAAACAAGUUAUACAAGUCAUACCCGAGACUUUCCAAAGUACAUUCCCAAUAGUUACUAUACCAUGCACAGAAUGAACUGGUGGUGCAGGAACUCUGCUUUCACCAGAUUUAAAUGAAAAAUCACUUCAAAAUAUAUAGAAUAGAGAUAAGAAUGAGAAUACAUAGGGAAAGCCACUAGAGUAGAAGAAAAGCCUAUCUAGUCUCACAAAGAUAAGAUUAUUCAAUUUUGUUGACUUAAACUUCCUAACAUCCCCCCAGGGAUAUUAGGAACUGAGGCUCAGGCGCUAUAGGUUUUGUGGUAGAUUAUUGAGAGUUCAAUUUUUUGUAAUGGCAAGGAGGAUGAGAGAUGGUGGCUUUUACCCACCAUCCUGCUAUUGUUCAAGACAAUUCAAGCUCGGUUUGUAGAUUGGCACAUAGCAAAUUUAGAAGUCUGAGAUUUGUCUCUCUUCAGUCCUGACCUCGAUACAUUUUGAGCCUACAAAUCUGUUUCUUGAUGCAAAAUUGUUUGCAGGAGGAAGUGGACUGGAUUUUUCAGCAUCUAUACAGUAAAUAGGGUCACCAUGUACACACAUCUCAGAGUAAAAUAGGAUCUUUAAUCAGAGUAAUGGAAUUGUUUUUACCAUGUACAUAUAUGUUCCCAUUUGAGCAUAGUUUAGAGAAAAUUAUAAUUGGGUGAUAAAUUUAAAGGUAGAUAGACAUGUUACAAGUUUGGUGACUGAAGCUUACUAUAGAUUCUAAUCAUUCCAAAUCAAUAAUGAAAUCGUAUUUUGGCACUAAAUGUUGUGAAAUAGCUACUCGUUGGCCACUGCCCAAUGCAUGCCCAAAUCAAUUCCCACCUACAUUCAAUCCCACAAAUCACAUAAACAUAAUACCCAGGCCCCAACAACUCAUUUUCAAAUAGAAACCCUCCUCAAGUUUUAACAAACAAAUAUAAUAUCAAACAUUCUGAAGCCGGAAUUAGAAUGUUAGGGUUCAUUGAAGCUUACGGGAAGUGGAGAGAUCCGAGCAAUGGUGAGAAAAAGAAAUAAAUUGAAAUCAAAUACUUCCAAUGGCGUCGGUGACUCACAGUGAUCGACAGAUUUUGAGUGAUUUCUCUGUAGUCGCGGGAUGAACUCUGCUGUUCGUGCUCUUUUCAAUUUUGAGGGAUUUAAGUUUAACUAUUUGGGCCGUUUCUGUAAAAGAUUGGCGGGCUUCGUAAAUUUUAAUUUUUUUACAUACACUACAAGCACUAAAAGCAUGCCGUAAAUUCUCAUUUAAUAUGGCGUGCAAAGGAUGUACGCCAUAAAUACUUUAAUUAAUUAAUCUUUUACGGCAUACAUAUAGCGCACGCCGUAAUUAGUCUAUUUUUACAACAUGCCAUAGAUGCACGCUGUAAAGGAAUGUCAUAAAAGGCUGUUUUUGUUGUAGUGGGAGCACUACCAUACUCCGACAAACAAAUUGAACGGGUAUCCUCACUAUCACAUUUUGCAACCUCAAUAGGGGACAUUUUCGUAUGACCAUAAACUACACAAUCAGGGGGUGGGUUUGGAUCGUGCAAUGCCACAUGCUACCAUGAGGUUAUCAUUUGAAGCAAAUUGAAAGUUGUUUAGCAAUACUACAAAUAAGUAUCGCAACAACAAUACUAGAUGUGCCCGUAAGAAUGGAAGCAGGCAAACAAAAAAGGCUAACCAAUUAGCAUUUGGAUCCCAAUUCUUGACAUAUAAAAUCAAUCCAGAAACUGAUGAAUUUCACCGAGAUCCUCAAAAUCAAUUUUCGGAUCUAGAUCUUUCUUCAACUGUUGAACUCCUAAAGCCAUCAUAGGGACCACAUUGUUGUACCUAACUUUGAUCAUCUUAAUCAUUUAGGUGAAUUCUAACUCAUCAUUCUUAGCCUUAAUAACUGGAAAGGAUCUAAGGUCACGGAAAGAAUUCAAAUACCAAUCUCUUACCUAGUAAGAGGACAAAUAAGAAAUCAACAUGUAUUUAAUCGUUAGUACAAUACAAUCUUUUCUCAAAAAAAUAGAAAAAAACAAUGAAACAUCAUGUAAUAGCUACCUCAACAUUGAGUAGAAUCAAGUACUUGGUCCAAUUGUGCAUCUAGAAUUCCCCACGCAUAAUUGUGCAAAUAAAUUAGACACGGUCAUACGAUAAAAAGAUGUAGAUGGAAGGUACACAUUGUACUUACCAACAAUGCACUGUCCAAUUCAUGCCAAAAGGGCAUAUAUCAUUUGAAAAUAAAAAACAUGCAAAUUAAAUUGAAGAACAUUCUUAUACAUAAAUCAUGAUUUGAAACUUCUCAUCCAUGACUAAACAAUUAAAUAUGAUCAAAACACAUUUAGAUAAACAAAAGGAUGCAUAAGCAGUCCGUUAAUCCACAUGGUCUGCUUUUAAUAUAAUUUCGCAACCGAAUCAGAAAACACGAUCAAAAACAUAAAUGGAUAAAAAGCACCCGUUUUAAAUUAAUCAAUCCGUAAUUCUCAAAAAUUAUCGAACAAGAUAAGAUGCGGAAAACAAAAUCCAAAUUAAAUAAAAAGGUAAUAUUGAAAACCCUGAAGGGAAAAUAUACGUUCAAAACAGCAGGAUUAUGGGACAAACCAUAGGAGAGCGACUCCAACUAAAUAGCCCGACGAGCGAUCCGAAUAGGUAACUCCUUGUGGAGGAAUUGAGCAGAAAUGAGCAAAUUUCGAUCGAUGGGUCGGGACCUAAAUUUCAUCAUGUAAUAGACGCUAACACCCAUCUGUUUCAUGGCACCCCAUUUCUGCACUUCCUGUAUUAGCCACUUGGAGAUUCCCUCCGCCGCCUUCUCAGCCGCCAUGAAACCAACCUCCAAUUGAAUUUUAUAUUCACCGGUGCACAAACAAGGAGUGAAUUGGAGGAUAUGUACAAUGGCUAAAUUGACAUGCUAGCAUUACAUAUGCAUGCACAAAAUAGUCAAUUAUUGUUUCUGUAAAUGUAGUUGUUAAAACACACGGAGGCAACCUUCAGAAGAGAGGGGGCAUAUGUUACAACCCAAUUUAUCUAGUCAAAAAUCAAGAGUUGAGUUUUCAAAGUCAAAGUUAAAUAGGACCUUAAUGGAGUGAAUUGUUUUAUUGGGGUUAUUUUACAAAUUGACAAUCCUUGAGGAUUUAACAUGGACAUCAUUUAAAUUUGAGGAUUUAUUUUACAAGAAUGGAAAGUUAAUGACUAGACUUUAUUUAAAACAUAAAAGGAGGGACUUGACUUGCAAUUAUUCAAUAAUUAUCCAUUAAAUAUCAUCUAUAUUACUCAUUUUCUCAUAUUUUGGGGGAAAAUGAGAGAAGGCUCGAGAGAACCUGAGAGAGAAGAAAAAAGAAGGGAAGAAAGAAGAUGAAGAAGAAGAAGAAGACGACAAAGAAGAAAGAAGAUUAUUUCAAGCUAGGGUUUUCAAGUUCUUCAAUUUCUCUUUGAUUUAGCAUGGUAUGUAUAAAGUAUAUUGUUUAAGGGAUAUGGACAAUUUGCUUUAAUUCAAUGUUUAGCAAGAAAUAUGUGUUAUUGAUAUGUAUUUGAUGUUAUAAAUAAAGAUAUAGCAAAGAAAUGUUUAUUUGGAUAUUGAUGUUGAAAAAGGUGGAAACUUUGGAAAUGGGUUUGUGAGAUAAAUGCAUAUUCUUUGAAAUUCUUGUGAUUAUAUGAUGCUAAACACUUAGAUUAAGGAUUUGAGGUUGAAAUUCUCCAAAUUUUCAGCCAUUUUCGAGCUAUUGUAGUAUACCAGAAAAGUGCUAUUUCUGUCCGUGUUUUCGAUGAUAGAUUUUAAUAUAUAGACAUUGGUGCUAGUUUCAAUAUUCUGGAAUUAUAGUGCUAGUUUUGCCAAUCAUAUAAUUUUGGUGGAUUUUUAGUAUUGGAACCAAAUUAAGUAUUGAAUAUUUGGGGUUUUGGUGUUAAAAUAAUUUAUAUGAAGGAGUACAUGUAGUGAUCUUAAUUGGGAUUAUGAAGUUGAAAAUAAAAUAUAUCAAGUCCCCAUUGGUAAAUUAAUAUUUCUAAUGGUAGGAAAAUACUCAAGACUCCUCUAUGAAGGGAUAUAAUUUAUUGUAGCGAGAGCGAGAUAACAUUCUUGGUAUUGAAAGUGAGAAGGCGAUGAGAAGAUCGAAACAAUGAUCAACUAUAACUUGGUGAAUGGAUAUAAAACUUAUUUUUUAGAAAUUAAUUAUUUAUUAAAUUUACAUUAGAUUAGAAAAUUUAUUAUUUCAGACAGUUGAUUUGACCACGUGAUUUUUAGAAUGAAAUGGAUUUAUAAUCAGUUACUUUUAAAGUUAAAAUCAGUUUAAUUAAAUCAUUUCACUACCAUGUUUUAUUCGAACUACAUGUUUCAGUAUAGUCAAAGUUAUUUUUUAAAAACCACCAGAAUGUACCCAGGUGAUUUUACUCGCUUUACAUUGGUGUGAAUAUGUUUCCAUAGUGCAUGAUCAGUUAUGGUGAUUUUACCCACUCUACACUAUUGUGAAUGUGUUUCCAUAGUGUUUGACCAAAAUUACAGAAUUUCAGCUCUGCGUGUGUAUGACCAGAAUUUAAGAAUUAUAGAUUUCAGAACUAAAUAGUUUUACCAUGUAUAUCAGUACUAACCGAUACAUGAGUAAGGUUAUUCCGGGUACCUUUUUGGUGUGAUUUUUUAGUAUUUUUACAACUUAUCAGAUUUCAGAUUAUAGAAUUCGGCCUAUUCAGUUCUCAGAUUAAAACUUUCAGCUUAUAGUAUUGAGCAGCAGCAAUAUUUCAUAGAUUUUCAUGGAUGUCAUAUUAUUUAUAUUCGUUGCAUUUUACAGUUACUUAUCUAGAAGAACAAAGAAUUUUAUAAUGUUUUCAUGUUUAAUUUUAAAAGUGUUACCAGAUUUCAGAAUUUCUAGAAGUUUUAGUAGUGCAAUAAUUUUCAGAAAAUAUGUAUAAAUGAGAAAAGUUUACUUAUUUGAAAAUUAUCCACUCACUGAGCUUUAAACUCAUAUAUUUUUUCUCCUUUUUCUUUAUUGACAGAUAGCAGCCGAUUUGAGCAGCUUUAGAGCAUGUUAAAUCACCGAAUUGAGCCACGCUUCGUAGGUUGUAUGACAUCCUUUAUCAGAUUAUACAGUAUGUGUUCUUUUGGAGUACAUGUAUCUUAAAUCAAAAAAAUUCAUCAUGGGCUCAUUACAUCUUUGACAUAUUUGGUAUAUUUGAGGCUUGUUGGUUGUAAAGCAAGUAAAUAUUGAAUGGCUAGCAUUUUAUUUGAAUAGUUUGUAUUAUGAGGUACUGAGGUACCCUGUUUUAUAUUAUAGGUAUUGAAUUGUGGAAACUUGGUUAUUGUCCAGGUGGUUUUAGUUCAUAUUUUAGGGAAAACUCUGUCAAAUUUUGUUAAAAAUAUUUUUCAGUCAAGCAAGUCAAGUUGUCUUGGUGGUAGGUCCAGCAUUUAACUGGUAUCUACCAUCAGAGCACUGUACGUGUCGGAUCUACUAGGAUGAUUCGGACGGGUCG
rnacentral:lncRNA from 1 species